UCCAAAAAAUAAACAAAUACCUUUCGAGAAAUUGUUCGCACUUUUGGAAUAUGUUUUAGUAUUCAAAAUUUGUAGGUUGGUAAAAAAAUCAUAUGUAGUUAGUUCCACAUAGCUUCAAUUUUCUAACUUGUUGGUGGAACCUACUCGCAGACUGAGGGUGCCCAAGGAGGUAUGGCUUCAGUUUGGAAUCCGGACGACGGGGCUAGUCCAAGUGUUUGGCUGAGCCGGAUACAAAUAAGGUCGAGGUCGACUUACAAUGCCAGAUGAGAGCUUAAAGCUGAAGUAACCGUGUUGGCUUCUGUCAAUACGAGGUCAACCUGUCGAAGAACACUGCUCCGUUGCACCCCAUGCGUGGGGGUGCAGUCAAGUGUGGCCACUGUUGCAAGUUGUAGAGAUGCCCACGUCGUCCACAUUGUUUCAGUCCUCGUCCAAUUGGAUGUCAUGGUGAUACUGCAUCCAGUUUGAAAUGUUGAGUCACAAUACAGUACAGGACAGAGCAUACUUGCCAAAGUUGGGAAAUUACAGGUGUCGUGCAGAAGGUGUACGGCCACCAGAAAAUAAUUGAUCCAAAUAAUUAAUGUUGUAUGAGAAAAGCGUGUAUAUUUUUUAAACUAUGUAUAUUUUGUAGAAAUUAAAGCAGCCUUCCCCCACCCGGCAUAUAAUAAAUGUUCUUCAAAUGGCA